UCCAGUGAGCUGCACCUACUCUCUUCUUGCAGAAGCUGGCGGUAACAGGAAUGCUGGCCAUGAGGUGAGGGACAGAGGGUACCUUCAUAGGACUUAGGCCUCAGGGCUGCAGGGGGCUUUAAUGAUCACCAGGUCCAACUCCAUCCAUGCUGGCUUCUCUUCCUCCACUCCUCACUCCAAAUAUUGUUUCCAGCUGCUGUCACUGAGGAUCUCAGAACCUCGUGUGGGAGUUUCAAUACAUGAAGGAGGGUCUCCCGACUGGCCAGCUUGUGGUGUUCCUCCCAAAUCCUCUUGUUUGAAGAAAUGGAACUUGCCCAGUGAGCUAGAGACACUCUAUGGCUGCUGGUGGGAGACAGUGAUGGCACUACAGAAGGACUCCUUUUUCAUCACUCUUGUAUGCUGAGAACAGGGUGUAUGAUCUCUCCUUUGGGGAGCAGAACAGUGAAGGUGACAUUCUCUCACCAACUGCUACCCAUCCCCUCCCAGGAACAAAGUCCUGGCAGAUCCCUCCUCGUGCUUCUCAGGGACUGAUUUCCUUCUCCCUGCAGGCCUGCUUUGGACUCACUGUUCACCUAGACUUCCCAAAUUGUAAGUGACUCCACAGGCCAGGUACUGUACCGCUGCCCCUCCCGCUGGAGGCUGCCUGCCACCUGGGAUGAGAGGUCCCCUGAGAGGAGGUGCCCUUGGGUCCAGCAGUCUGCCCUUGACAAAGGGCUCCUUGUCUCUAAUUUGCU